rnacentral:rRNA from 1 species
UACGAAGGGGCUAGCGUUGCUCGGAAUCACUGGGCGUAAAGCGCACGUAGGCGGAUUGUUAAGUCAGGGUGAAAUCCUGGAGCUCAACUCCAGAACUGCCUUGAUACUGGCGAUCUUGAGUCCGGGAGAGGUGAGUGGAACUGCGAGUGUAGAGGUGAAAUUCGUAGAUAUCGGGAGGAACACCAGUGGCGAAGGCGGCGAUCUGGGUAGAGUACUGACGCUGAGGUGCGAAAGCGUGGGAGCAACAGG